AGAGUGAACGCUGGCGGCAGGCCUAAUACAUGCAAGUCGAACGGCAGCACGGCAGAGCUUGCUCUGUGGGUGGCGAGUGGCGGACGGGUGAGGAAUACAUGGGAAUCUGCCCAGUCGUGGGGGAUAACGUAUGGAAACGUACGCUAAUACCGCAUGCGCCCUUCGGGGGAAAGCCGGGGACCUUCGGGCCUGGCGCGAUUGGAUGAGCCCAUGUCGGAUUAGCUAGUUGGCGGGGUAACGGCCCACCAAGGCGACGAUCCGUUGCUGGUCUGAGAGGAUGAUCAGCCACACUGGAACUGAGACACGGUCCAGACUCCUACGGGAGCAGCAGUGGGGAAUUUGGACAAGUGGGACGAAAGCCUAGAU
rnacentral:rRNA from 1 species